UACGGAGGGUGCAAGCAUUAAUCGGAUUUAUUGGGCGUAAAGGGCGCGUAGGCGGGUCGGAAAGUCAGAUGUGAAAUCCUGUGGCUCAACCACAGAACAGCAUUUGAAACUCCCGAUCUUGAGGGUAGGCGGAGAAAAUGGAAUUCCACAAGUAGCGGUGAAAUGCGUAGAUAUGUGGAAGAACACCAGUGGCGAAGGCGGUUUUCUAGCUUAUUCCUGACGCUAAAGCGCGAAAGCAAGGGGAUCAAAC
rnacentral:rRNA from 1 species